rnacentral:sRNA from 1 species
UUGCGCGUGGCGAGUCUGUGUCCUCCCUGUCCCUCCGAGCAGAGAGCCUCCCCGUAUCUGGACCGGGGAGGAGCAGACGCUGGACAGGUUUCUGGGAGAAUGCUGGCAAUUCCCAGGAAGAUACGUGGAGAACGGAAAGGUUGCUACACCCAAAUAGUGGAGCAAAGCUAUGAUUAUGGAGGAUUGGACCUGCAAACUCCAGAACAGAGCAACCUUGUAAAAUGUGUGUGGGCAGCACAGAGACCUUGGGCAAGUUAACAGUUUCCUCAUCUAAAUAGUGAUUUAUGGAAAGCACCUGGUGCGUGUUCUGCCCUCUGAGGACCCUGCCCUUUCCCAAAAGGGAUAUCUUGAGAAGGAAAGUAUGGCUGCUCUUUGCUGGACAGCAGAGUCCCAGAACCCCAUGCAGGUGUUUUAGGGCUUUACGUCAUUCAAGGAUGUGGCUGUGAACUUCACUGGGAAGAAUGGAGAGAACUGGACCCUGCUCAGAGAGUCUUGUACAGAGAUGUAAUGCUGUAGAACUAUAGGAACCUGGUCUUCUUGGUAGGAUUUCCAUUUUCCAAACCUGCUAUCAUCUCCCAGUGGGAAGAAGUGGUAAGCCCAUGAAUGCAAAUGCAGGAGGGAGAGGUGCCAAGAAGCAGCUGUACAUGCUGAACUCCAGUGCACCCAGUUAGACUUGGAGCGGAAACUCAAGUUGAAUGAAAAUGCCAUCUCCAGGCUCCAGGCCAACCAAAAGUCUGUUCUGAUGUCGGUGUCAGAGGUCAAAGCAGUGGCUGAAAUGCAGUUUGGGGAA